rnacentral:rRNA from 1 species
CCCUUAGAUGUUCUGGGCCGCACGCGUGCUACACUGAUGCAUUCAACGAGUCUAAAACCUGGUCUGAUAGGGCUGGGUAAUCUUUUGAAAGUGCAUCGUGAUUGGGAUAGAUGAUUGCAAUUCUUCAUCUUCAACGAGGAAUGCCUAGUAAACGCAAGUCAUCAGCUUGCAUUGAUUACGUCCCUGCCCUUUGUACACACCGCCCGUCGCUCCUACCGAUUGAAUGAUCCGAUGAAUACCAUGGAUUGAGAGUACGAAUAGGUUCGCUUAUUUCUGCUGCUCGAGAAGUGGAGUAAAUCUUAUCAUUUAGAGGAAGGAGAAGUCGUAGCA